rnacentral:rRNA from 1 species
GAUGAACGCUGGCGGCGUGCCUAAUACAUGCAAGUCGAGCGAACGGACGAGAAGCUUGCUUCUCUGAUGUUAGCGGCGGACGGGUGAGUAACACGUGGAUAACCUACCUAUAAGACUGGGAUAACUUCGGGAAACCGGAGCUAAUACCGGAUGAUAUUUUGAACCGCAUGGUUCAAAAGUGAAAGACGGUCUUGCUGUCACUUAUAGAUGGAUCCGCGCUGCAUUAGCUAGUUGGUAAGGUAAUGGCUUACCAAGGCAACGAUGCAUAGCCGACCUGAGAGGGUGAUCGGCCACACUGGAACUGAGACACGGUCCAGACUCCUACGGGAGGCAGCAGUAGGGAAUCUUCCGCAACGGGCGAAAGCCUGACGGAGCAACGCCGCGUGAGUGAUGAAGGUCUUCGGAUCGUAAAACUCUGUUAUUAGGGAAGAACAUAUGUGUAAGUAACUGUGCACAUCUUGACGGUACCUAAUCAGAAAGCCACGGCUAACUACGUG